AUUGAACGCUGGCGGCAGGCCUAACACAUGCAAGUCGAACGGUAACAGAAAGCAGCUUGCUGCUUUGCUGACGAGUGGCGGACGGGUGAGUAAUGUCUGGGAAACUGCCUGAUGGAGGGGGAUAACUACUGGAAACGGUAGCUAAUACCGCAUAACGUCGCAAGACCAAAGAGGGGGACCGUCGGGCCUCUUGCCAUCGGAUGUGCCCAGAUGGGAUUAGCUAGUAGGUGGGGUAAAGGCUCACCUAGGCGACGAUCCCUAGCUGGUCUGAGAGGAUGACCAGCCACACUGGAACUGAGACACGGUCCAGACUCCUACGGGAGGCAGCAGUGGGGAAUAUUGCACAAUGGGCGCAAGCCUGAUGCAGCCAUGCCGCGUGUAUGAAGAAGGCCUUCGGGUUGUAAAGUACUUUCAGCGGGGAGGAAGGGAGUAAAGUUAAUACCUUUGCUCAUUGACGUUACCCGCAGAAGAAGCACCGGCUAACUCCGUG
rnacentral:rRNA from 1 species